rnacentral:rRNA from 1 species
GAUGAACGCUGACAGAACGCUUAACACAUGCAAGUCGAUGGGGAAGUGGUGCUUGCACCAUGGUAACCAUGGCGGACGGGUGAGUAACGCGUAAGGAACUUACCUGCGGGACCGGGAUAACAGCAGGAAACUGCUGACAAGACCGGAUAAGGUCAUUAAGCUGCAUAGCUUAGUGAUGAAAGGAGACGCCUGCGGAGAGCCUUGCGUCCUAUUAGCUAGUUGGAGGGGUAACGGCCCACCAAGGCGAAGAUAGGUAGCCGGCCUGAGAGGGUGGACGGCCACAAGGGGACUGAGAUACGGCCCUUACUCCUACGGGAGGCAGCAGUGGGGAAUAUUGGACAAUGGGGGCAACCCUGAUCCAGCAAUUCUGUGUGCACGAAGACGGUUUUCGGAUUGUAAAGUGCUUUCAGCAGGGAAGAAGGAAGUGACGGUACCUGCAGAAGAAGCGACGGCUAAAUACGUG